AUUAAAAUAGCUAUUCUGAUAGCUUUGAGCCUGCACUUACAACAAUUUUACAUUUUUUGUAUAUAUAAGCCUGAAAAAAAAAUAAAAUAAAAUAAUAAUAAUAAUAAUAAUUUGUGUAUCUAUUCCUGUGUGCAGCAGAUGGCUUCUCCGUUUACUGAGCUGGAAUACUACGUUAUUCUGCUUUCUCUGCUGGUCUUCUCUCUGUUCACACUGCACGGUAUGAUACAGGAGCGAUGCACACCUUCCACAGUGUACAGUAAAGCAGAAGAACUGCAGGAACAUCUCAUAGUGUGAGUCUCAGACUCGUUCACUACAUCGUUCAGUCUGGACUAAUCUACGGUUAAACGGCUGAACCAGGAUCAGUACCAGCAGUCUGUGGAGUAUGGAAGAACUCAGAGGAGUACUGGGAGUGCUGGGGGCGAUUUGGGACCUUCUGGACAGUAUUGUGGAGAGGCUCGCUCCAGCCUCUGAUCUUUAUGGAACUGUAUGACCUCAGGUGCUCCACAGAGCCGGAUUACACAUCUGUGUACGUGUGUGUGUGUGUAAGGUCAGUGUGUGUGCAUUGAGUGAUGACGUGGUUUAUGGAGAGUUGUUAGAAGACAAGGACUUUGGCUGGUCUGAGGAGAAGUUGUGGAACAAAGUGUGGUUUAUUCUGCGUGACAAGAUCAGACAUGACGGGAGAUUUCUGACGCUGCAGAGUGUUAUGGAUACUCCAUUCUCAGGUCUGGAGCUGGUGUUUAUUUUCAUAGCCUUCACUGUGUUCUGUGUAUUCAGCAUUGCUGCGAUCUACACACAUAACCAACCAGACACCCAGGGUACGUGUUACACACACACACACGCUAUAAUUUAUAUACUAGUUAUACUAGAUAUACCGCUGUAAAUGUAAUGCAGAUGCUAUAGCUUUAACACCAUUUGACGAUUUAACAUAAAUACACAACUCUGUACAAGACUUAAUUUUAAACUAGAAAGGGAAAAUUGUCCAUAAAUUGGCUUGGAAAAGCAUGCUUAAAACAUUGAAAAUUUAGAUGGUUGCUGAGCUGUUUCUGUCUAAAAACUGUGAAGAGUUGUUUCUAUGCUGCUAACUUUGGGCUAAAUGCAAAAGUCAAAAAUCUUUUAGCUAAAGUUUGGGUAAUAGAGUAGUGUCCAAAAACAUUUGGAUACAUGGUUGCUAUGGAAUCGCAGGUUGUUGCUAAGUGGGUGCUGUGCUGUUGCCAUGGUUUAUCAAGUGGUUGUUAAGGUGUUAUCUGCUGCCUUUCUCCCCCUCUGU
rnacentral:lncRNA from 1 species